rnacentral:rRNA from 1 species
GAUGAACGCUGGCGGCGUGCCUAAUACAUGCAAGUCGAGCGAACGGACGAGAAGCUUGCUUCUCUGAUGUUAGCGGCGGACGGGUGAGUAACACGUGGAUAACCUACCUAUAAGACUGGGAUAACUUCGGGAAACCGUAGCUAAUACCGGAUAAUAUUUUGAACCGCAUGGUUCAAAAGUGAAAGACGGUCUUGCUGUCACUUAUAGGUGGAUCCGCGCCGCAUUAGCUAGUUGGUAAGGUAACGGCUUAGCAAGGCAACGAUGCAUAGCCGACCUGAGAGGGUGAUCGGCCACACUGGAACUGAGACACGGUCCAGACUCCUACGGGAGGCAGCAGUAGGGAAUCUUCCGCAAAGGGCGAAAGCCUGACGGAGCAACGCCGCGUGAGUGAUGAAGGUCUUCGGAUCGUAAAACUCUGUUAUUAGGGAAGAACAUAUGUGUAAGUAACUGUGCACAUCUUGACGGUACCUAAUCAGAAAGCCACGGCUAACUACGUG